ensembl:lncRNA
CUACAAGUUUAUGGCCUAGUACUUGUUAUUCAUUAAGUUGAAGGGACAGAGUUAUUUCUGAUUGCAGCUGGCAAGCAUUGCCGGGCUGUGACAAGCACUGAGAUAUUAAGUCUGAAGUAUAAUUGCAUUCCUUGAUAAAAACAACAUGUCACAUGCACAACUCUUUUAAAGAGGAAAAUAAUUUAGAGCUAUGUCUAUUAGCAUUCCGUGUCGGUUGAAGGCCCUCUCGCUGAUAUCUGAUUAAAUGCUCCAGAAUCGCUCAAGUGAGAGAAGCCCCUUUCUCUCCCCCCGACCCACUGACCACACUCUCAAACCUGCGAUCGGUUGCUCAGGUAAUGACACACAUGCAGUUUCGGGAUUAAACGUUAUUAAAUUCAGUCAUGUAUGCCAGAUAGCAACAUAGUGUUGGCCCAGAUCUGGCCCAUAUCUGGCCCGCGUGAAAUCCAUGCGGGAUGACACUUGUUGCUGUCUGGGUUACGCUCCUCUGUGUUUUCUCUAUUGGUCAUACAGUAUAACACGUGUUCUUAGCAGAAGAAAGUGCUCCGAUCUCAUGGACUAAUGUAGUAGACUGGCAUUUUUCAUUAAUUCAUGUAUACAGAAGAAAAGUUCAAGACUCAAUUGCCCUGUGUGGUUUUGAAUACUUUGGCACUUUGGGUGUAG